rnacentral:rRNA from 1 species
GACGAACGCUGGCGGCGUGCCUAAUACAUGCAAGUAGAACGCAGUUGCGAACGGGUGAGUAACGCGUAGGUAACUGCCUCAUAGCGGGGGAUAACUAUUGGAAACGAUAUCUAAUACCGCAUACUGUGAGCUGGACCUGCGUUGUAUUAGCUAGUUGGUGAGGUAAAGGCUCACCAAGGCGACGAUACAUAGCCGGCCUAGGAGGGUGGUCGGCCAAAAUGGGACAUAGAAAAGGCCCAGACUCCUACGGGAGGCAGCAGGAGGGAAACUUCGGAAAUGGACGGAAGUCUGACCGAGCAACGCCGCGUGAGUGAAGAAGGUUUUCGGGUCGUAAAACUAUGUUGUUAGGGAAGCGGUAACUAAACAGAAAGGGACGGCUAACUACGUGCCAGCAGCCGCGGUAAUAC